rnacentral:lncRNA from 1 species
UGCUAGCUGGGGAACAUCGCCAUCCAAGUUAAGGCUCCAUGGUCACUCUGUGGGGGAAGAAAUUGUGUUUCUGUAUUGUGUUAGUUUUAAAUGACAAGUAAAAUUGUGUAUAUUUAUGGCAUGGGGGGAAAAAGGUGAUGUUCAAACUUGCAAUGUCCUCUAGCAUAAAAUUGCCAUCUGAGUCUUUAUCUUUGGUUAUUUCAACAGUGUUCUGGGCCGUGGCUGAACCAACUCUACUUGGUCAAGAUUGUUUCUGGCAUUCUGGUGAAAUGUCUCUGGGAACUGGUUGUCUUGUAACUGACAUAACUGAGAAGGGAUAUGUGUUUAAUUAUCCUGUCACUGAAUAUGGGAUUCAGAAAGAGCUUUUCAUGUUUGGAGACCACUCCAAGCACCACCAAAACAAUCUUGCAAAGUUCAGGAAUGAUUCUCCCUCUGCCAUUUCUUAUUUUGCCUGGAACAUAACCAACACUUGCCUGCUUGGAUUGCUUCAUAUUCCACAUUUCCAAGACUCCUUGGUGAGUAAGGAUCCUUGGAACGGGCAACACGCGGCAGUGUUCACAUAGAAACUAUUGUAUUGAUAUAAGGUUAUUGUAUUGAUACAAGGCUAUUGUAUUGCUAUAAGCUUAAAUCUCUGCUAAUGGGUUUGUUGUUGUUGUUUAAAUAGUGUCUAGCUAUGUCAUGAGUCUUAAAGUACACUAUAGUCCUGUUUAGAAAAAAUGCCACUUCCAUGUGUCUAUGUAUGUUCUCGUGUUACUGAUAAGUCUUCCUUUAUCCCAGUUGUUGCAUCAAAUUAACUGAAUCUCCAGUAUGGUUUAAACAUAAUCUGAGUUGAUAAUCAAAUAACUCACUUAAUUUAAUUUAAUUUUUUAUUUUUUUAUAUACAGUUUUGUUACAUGAACAUAUUGCCUAGUGGUGAAGUCUGGGCUUUUAGUAUAGCCAUCACUCAAGUAGUGUACAUUGUACCCAUUAAGUAAUUUCUUGUUCCUCACCACCCUUCCACCCUUCCGAGUCUCCAGUGCCCAUUAUUCCACUUUCUAUGUUGACAUGCAUACAUGAGAAAGCUCCCACUUUGAAGUGAGAACAUUGUGAAAACCACUCGCUGUAAAUAGUGCUCAGCCGCUUGGAUAAAAGUUUCCAGGUAUCUCAACUGCCACAACCUCUAAUGCCUGGCGCAUAGUAGAUGCUCCAAAUUCAUUAGUCAACGUGUGAGUGAAUGUGCUUUCUGUGCCAAGUUUGUUAGUGGUUACAUUGCAAGCUUUUCAUUCAUUGUCUUUCUUUUUUCUCUGCAGGUAGAGUCCUGCUCUCCGUCACUUCUACUUAAUAUGCCUCAUCCACUAGUCCAUGAGAAUGCAAACAUGGCUAUGUUCUAGGUCAUUCCAUGGCAAAAAUCCUGAUAAUUCUGUUGCUACAGCUCCCUUAAAAUUUAAUUUUUAAACCAAUCACUAUAUAUUUUAGCACUUUUCUGUGCCAUUUCCUGAGAGGAUGUCUCAAAGUUAGGGUUGGGAUAGUGCUCCUAGUGCUUCAUAUGUUUUUAAAAAGUGUUUCUUUUUCAACAAGGUGGCCGUGGUGCCCUUGCUUAUUUCUCUGAUGACAAGAAGAUGUCUCUGUGUACUUUUUAUGUGGAAUUGAUUUUACAAAUAAAAUGUGCCGUGCCUUUGGCUACACUUCUUGGUGACCAAGUGAUUACCUCAAAAUAGGACCCAAGCCAAGAGGUAGGGAUGGAAGUGUUACUGUCACCCGCCCUGCUGCUAGUAGCACUUUUCUAAGCCUGUGUACAGGUUGUGUUUUAGAUUCAGUAGACAUAGAAUAAUCCCACAUCAUUGGGAGUUUCAUUUCUAUAGGAAAGAUUUAGUAGUGAUGGUGGAAAUGAACAUAAUUGGAUUGACAAGGAGACGAGUGCAGAGUUUGAUGACCUAAAGGCCUGUGGAUUGGGGAAACAGCUGUAGUAGAAUAUUUCUAUAUCUUCCUUCAAGAUCAAUAGGAUGAGACUCAGUCUUCCUUUUGGGCACUCUAGGAACUACAUUUUAGUGAUCCCUUAGGAUCACUCUUCUUUAUUUCAACUCCCACUCUCCAGCUAGUAAUAGCAUAAUUCUGAAACAUGCUCAUGAGGCUCUUGCAAUCUCUUUAGUAAAACUUUUCAGAGCUCAAGUCCUGUCUGUGGAAUCCUAUCCCUCACAUCAGCAAACCUUGGUCAAUAGGGGGAGUCUGGAUACUUGUCAUUUUAAAAUAGCAGGGUGAAGAUAAAUGUCUUUUAAUCUGUCAGUGCCUCCUGCUGGCAGAAGAUAAAAAUGAGGCUAGAAAAUCUGUAUUCAAUAAAAAACAUCAAUGUCUUAGAUUUGGAUGGUCCUGAGUGUACAGAUCCUUAAAUUACCUGUAGUACCAAAGGGAGUGGAUGAACCCCUUCGUGGAGUGUGUAGAAGGGGAGAUAGUCGGAAUGUACUUGUGGCAAGCAUUAGGUUUCUUUAAUCUUUUUAUCUAAAAUUUUGGAGCUAAACUUUGCAUUCUAUUUCAUUAACAGACUUUUACUUUUUAAAAUGUAAAACAAUGUUUAAUAUGAGUUUUUCCUUCUACAAAUCAUCCAGCUAUUAAUUGUUCCAUUGUAUCUUCUUGUAAACUGCUACCUUCAACCCUCUGGCAUACCCUCAGAGAUUUAUAAAUCUCAGUCUGAAAAGAAAAAACUUAUUUGAAAAGCAUAGAUAUUCAUAUAGUAAACAACUAAUAUAUAUGAAAUAUAUUAUGAUGUUUAGAUAAUUGAUAUUUUAAAAAGAAAUAAAAGUAUAACAUCAAGAUGCAAAUUCAGGCCAGUGAAGCGGCUCACGCCUAUAAUCCUAUCACUUUGGGAGGCUGAGGUGGGAGGAUCCCUUGAGCUCAGGAGUUCAAGACCAGCCUGAGCAAGAGCGAGACCCUGUCUCUACAAAAAAUACAAAAAUUAGCCAGGUAUGGUGGUGCAUGCCUGUGAGUGGUAGCAAGGUGAAGGCCUCCAAGGGCCAGCAGGUCUGACUAGUAAACUCUCUUCUCAAAAAUGUUUUUGGAAAAUAGUGUAUUUUCAGGUGCAUGAUGCUAUCUGCUUCAUGCCUCAUCCUCCUUUGUAACACCUUUCUGUAUUCUUUUGAACUAACUUCUUAGCCAAUCCCCUUGCCUUGGUUUUCCAUUACAAUGCUCUGAUCAAACUUUUACUUUAAAUAUUCUUCCCUUUGACACCAAAGAUCUGACUGCUCCUCUAAAUUUGACACACUGUUUUGUGACCCAGUGAUGUGUUAGUGUUAGUAAUCUCUCUUAGGCACCUGGAGAAAUUCGGGCUUUAGAGAGAAUUGAGGUGCCAUCAAUGUGUAUUCACCCAUUCCCUUGACGUAUUUUCUUGGGAAGCUGCUAUGGCCUAACUGGAGGAUUCAUUAAUAUCUUUAUUCACUCUGUCAUUGAGGAAAUAUUUGAAUAUUUAGGACCCAUCAGAUCCUAUGCUUAGUGGUUGGGAUUCAAAAGUGCAUGAUCCUUGUCUCAGCAAAGUUUACAGUUUAGUGGGAGAGAUGUUAAUGGACUUCUACAUACGUAAACUGCUAAGGACUAGAGUACAGGAGCUGUAGACACUUUAACAGGAGAUUUGAUCCAUUCUUUUUUUUUUUUUUUUUGUGAGACAGAGUCUCACUCUGUUGCCCAGGCUAGAGUGAGUGCCAUGGCUUCAGCCUAGCUCACAGCAACCUCCAACUCCUGGGCUCAAGCAAUCCUCCUGCCUCAGCCUCCC